GUAUAAGUAUUAUACAGCGAAACUGCGAAUGGCUCAUUAAAACAGUUAUAAUUUAUUUGAUAAUCGAAUUUACAUGGAUAACCGUGGUAAUUCUAGAGCUAAUACAUGCUGGUAGGCCCGACUUUUUGGAAGGGCGGUAUUUAUUAGAUAACAAACCAAUAUUCCUCUGGUCUAUUGUGGUGAAUCAUAAUAACUGAUCGAAUCGCAAGGUUUUUAACCGCGAUAAGUCAUUCAAGUUUCUGCCCCAUCAGCUUUCGAUGGUAGUGUAUUGGACUACCAUGGCUUUUACGGGUAACGGAGGAUUAGGGUUCGAUUCCGGAGAGGGAGCCUGAGAAACGGCUACCACAUCUAAGGAAGGCAGCAGGCGCGUAAAUUACCCAAUCCUGACUCAGGGAGGUAGUGACAAGAAAUAACGGACCGAGGCCUUCGGGCUUCGGGAUUGCAAUGAGCCGAAUUUACACCCCUUAGCGAAGAUCGAUUGGAGGGCAAGUCUGGUGCCAGCAGCCGCGGUAAUUCCAGCUCCAAUAGCGUAUAUUAAUGUUGUUGCAGUUAAAAAGCUCGUAGUUGGAUUUCUGGGAAAGUGCAUAUGUCCGCUUAACGUGUGUGCAUCUGCGCUUUCUCAUCCUUCUGUUAGCGCCUCUUGUCAUUCAUUUGAUGGUGGCGGGCUCAGAUAUUUUACCUUGAGAAAAUUAGAGUGUUUCAGGCAGGCUAGGCCGGAAUACAUUAGCAUGGAAUAAUGGAAUAGGACUUUAGUCUCUUUGUUGGUUUGAGGGACUGCAGUAAUGAUUAAUAGGGAUAGUUGGGGGCAUUAGUACUUAACUGUCAG
rnacentral:rRNA from 1 species